UACGAAGGGGGCUAGCGUUGCUCGGAAUUACUGGGCGUAAAGCGCACGUAGGCGGUCUUUUAAGUCGGCGGUGGAAUCCUGGAGCUCAACUCCAGAACUGCCUUCGAUACUGGAAGACUUGAGUCCGGGAGAGGUGAGUGGAACUGCGAGUGUAGAGGUGAAAUUCGUAGAUAUUCGCAAGAACACCAGUGGCGAAGGCGGCUCACUGGCCCGGUACUGACGCUGAGGUGCGAAAGCGUGGGGAGCAAACAGG
rnacentral:rRNA from 1 species